GAGCAAUAUAAAUUUUAAAAUAUAGAAACAGAGCAAUAUGCUACACACUGUUUUGCAAACUCUCCGUCAAGUCGGUAUUCUUUCAUGGUCCACCUUCCCAUGCCAUUGAAGCCAUUCUUAGCGACAAAACUAAAACUUCGCUUAGACCCAUAGUGUAUUGUUUCGCUAUCAUCAUAAAGCUCUUCGUCCUUUUGACUUCUCCGAGUUGCAGAAUGGGUAGAUCUCUCAACAUGCUUAUUUUUCUUCUUCAGUUUGGUGUAAAAAUAGAGAUGGUCCAUAUGGGUUUCUUGAAUAAUCUUCAUCCACGUGCUAGGAUCCCCAAAAACAUCACAAUCGACGAUAAUAUUCAUUGAAUCCUCGAAGAUUGGGUUCCCUUGGACCUUGUUGAGAAGAUAGUAAAGAACAAUUUCUGCGUCAUUAGGCCUAAACUUGACACCAGGUGGCAACUCCAUAUAUAGCUUCUGCACCAGCACUGAUCUGAUGAUGAAUCUUGUUGUUGUGUCGAUAAUGAGUGCGCAAAAGAUCACUGGACUUGAAACUAACCGGGAUCACUGGUGAGGGCUACGACACCGAUGAUGCUCGGAUUUUCAAUCUCAAGAGCUCCACUUCAGUGAGAAAUCUUAACCCAUCUGAUGUUGAGGUUACUACCCAGAUCCUGUUGUUACAAAUAGAGAGCAAAUAAACUGAACCCAAGAUAUGCUUGAAGGAAGAGUGUCAAGCUAGGGACUCCAUGGCACUGGUUCACAACCGAUGCAGGUCAAAAAAUUUGUUGUGAAACAAACUCACCUUUGUACUUGCUGUCCUAUACAUCUGUUUUUGCUGAAUAAUUCCGAAGUUCUUCCACCAAAAAGAAAGGUACAUCAGGCUGAGGGCCUGAGCCCAUCUCUGUCUUAAUGAAUGUUCUAGUUAAUUUGGGGUGAAAAAAUCUGGUUUCAGAAUCUGGCUUCAAUAAUUUAUGAAUGAUGUGGGUAGGUUUUGGUUGUGUGUGAAUUAAAGUUGGGUAGGAAAAAUUAAGGUUGUUAUUGAUGAGGGUAUAUACAUAGGAAUUGAUGUUGAACUUCAUCUAUUAUAGGUUCAGCAAUCAGCGUGGUGUGAAGUUUUUUUUGGGUGAUUGGGGGUUUACAAUUUGGUUGGGUCAUACAAUUGGCAGUGGAUCUUGGUCAAUCUUGAAUGGUAGGGUGAGUCAUUAAUUUGAGGGUGGGUAGUGGCUUAUUAAUGAUAAGGCCAGGGUUUACAAUUCUGUUUGGGAUGCUGGUUGGUUAAUUCAUGAAAUUGGCGUAUUGGGUCUUGCUUAGUCUUAGGGUAGAUGUCUUAAUAAUGGUGGAGCUUUGCUCAAAGUGUGUAAACAUAACACCGGCUGCGAACUAUACCACAAGAGAUUGAGGGCUUGUUGAAGUAGCUGGGGCCAAUAGAAAGAAGAGUAAGAACUUUAUAUACAAAUGAUAUUUGAAGGGAGACCUGCUAGUUAAAGUCCCAUUCACAUGAUUUUUUUUAUUUAUUUAUUAAAGGAUGAUAUUAUAUUACGUUCUCCUAUUUUGUUUCACUAUAAUGUUCAAGAGCGACUCAAUAACUUUGUAGCCUCUGUAAUCAAUGUUAAGCUGAAGUUGGAUUUGUGGAAAGUCCUGUAUUGAGGACAGAAAUCAUCUCUUUUAUUUUGUACUCUUUUACUUAAUUAAAGGAAAUGGACAAUCUCUAACCCCAAAUUCAACUGGCUGGAUUUAGUUGAUUGGAGUGUAAUUCACCUAAAAGGGAAGAGCUUAAGAGCUGUACUUUGUAAAUUAGCUUAAGAAACUAUAUACUGAAGACCAGUUUAUUAUUAGUCAUAAUGAAAGAUGUUAAGGAUUUUCAAUAUUUAAAUUUUGAAUCGUGUGCUGUGUUGUACUGUAAAUGGAGGAUGAAUGUUUCCCUAGUUUGUAAGGGUGUUUGAUCUUGUUUGAUAGUGUGUUGCAAGGUGGGGAUUUAGAGUUGUGUUUUGUAAAUUAGAUGGAUAGUCUGACUUUAGGUUAAGGAUGGGUUUUGUUUAGCUACAUUUAGCAUUUGGUGUUUUAGGCUUUGAUGCACUACAGCUCUACAUUUUUUGCAGGUGUUGUACUUUGUUUAGUGCAAUUAGCUGUUAAGUGUUGUAUCGGUGUUUGUAUCCUAUUCUUUGUUAUUGAGAUGACUGAUUCUUUCCAAAAAAAAAAAAAAAAGCAUCACAAGUGGGAAGAGUAAAUUGAAGGUUAAUUCUUAGAGUAAAAAAAAGCAUUUAUAAGUUACUGUUCUCCAUCACAAGCUGUAUUGUUGGAUGGGAAAAGCUUGGUAGGAGUAUCAUUUUAUUUUCUAUAUUUUCAUUCAAAAAAAGAGUAUCAUUUUAUUUUAAUUUGAACUAUCUUCUUUCCCAUGAAUUAAAUAUUAGAACUCGAUCUAAUGUCUUGUACAUUCUCAUCUUCUUUGUACGUUGUUAUUGUUUUGAUUUAUAAUCCCUUAGGAUUUGAGGUAGUAGUACAAAUUCUUGUGAGUGCUUCUAUUCUUAGUCUUCCUUGUAAUUGAACUUUUUACUUAAUAUAUUUUUUUGUCAAUGCUUCAUACCUGGCACUUAUUAUCAUGUUCCAAAAUAAUUUAAUUAUCAUAUUGUUUAGAUUUUGCUUUAUCCUUUGUUUAUCUAAUUGUAAUUAUAUAUAUACAUGCAAGUUGCUUUUCCUAAACUUAGUGAUUAUUUAUUCAUUCUGAUUUUUGGACCUUACUAAUACUGGUUCCUGCCAUUUAGAACACCGUGAAUGGUGAAUAUAUAGCAUUGCUUUUAAUAAGUUUGACCAAAAUUCAUUUCAGAUCUCUAAAUUUACUUUUGAAAGUCCUCGAAGUUUCAAAUUUAUUCAAUUUAAGGUAUUGCUUUAGUGUCCGUCAUGUAAUUGCCGUUAAGUGAAAAUCUAUAGAAAAGCAAGACUUAAUGGCAAUUUUCUAAAGGAAGAUCUUUAAUUGAAUAAACUUUAAACUUUAGACUUAAUGCCGUUAAGUGUGCAUUUUGUUUUUUAGUUAUUAUUAGCCAAGUUGCAAACACAGAUUAUGUGUCGAGACUCAAGUAAAAUCAGGUUCAAGGUCCUUUAAGCUUUUGAUUCCCUUUUGAAUGUUGUUGGAUGCUAAUAGACUAGUUAUUUUUGAGUUUCAUUUUCAUUAUCUAGUAAAAAUAGUUGGAAUUAUAUGUGGAUUUCAGUUAUUAGUUUGUUCCCCUGACAUGUAUGAGCUUAUUGUUACGGAUGAUCUCUCUGCUAUGGUUGGAAUUGAAGGAUGAUACAUCUUAAUGAAAGAGAUCAUGGACUGGGAGAUUAUUUACCUUCCAAAUUGAUCCAUCUAUGAAUUUUGCACUUAACACAUAUGAUUUAGUGGGAUCUCUACCUGGUGGCAACAAUAAUUUAUAGCUUGGGGAUGCUAUUUUUACUAUGAAAUGGGUUACUUGAAGAUUUGCAAGUAACAUUUUGGUUUUGGUUUAGAUUUAUUCAGUUGAAUAGAUUUUGGCAUGGUUUGGAUUG